rnacentral:lncRNA from 1 species
UAUGCAUCUUCUAGGACAGUCCUAGAAGUCUUCUAGGAUGCAGCAGAAGGAUGUGAAGUCUUUGCCUUGAUCUUGCAGAGGAGGGAUAACAGGAGCCUGAGCAGACAGAAGGUGUCUUCUGUUUUCCUGGAGUUGGGUGUGAUCAGCUUUGUGCAAUGUCCCCAAUCUUAAUGUCACACAUACAGCAAUAAGGCCCUUAAAAGCAACAGUUGGCAUACUGUGUAAGUAAUUUUUUAUUUUUUCUAAAUAUUCCUAUGAAAUAGUCCCUUUGCCUCUGUUUCAUUUUAGAAAC